rnacentral:lncRNA from 10 species
AUAGACUGCUGAAUGUUCAAACUGUGUUCAAAUAAGAUGGUGUCACAAGAAGGAUCUGAAGUGGAGCUUCUAGUAUCCCCAGGAGCGCGAAGUGAACACGGAAGGUACCUGCAGGAUCCAAUUGUGUCCAUUGAUCUCUCAGAGUGGCUGAGGAUAAUAGAGUUUCUUCUUCAAGGUCUCAAGGUCUGAAGCAUCCCACAGAAUGAUCCUACUGAAUAACUCCCAUAAGCUGCUGGCCCUAUACAAAUCCUUGGCCAGGAGCAUCCCUGAGUCCCUGAAGGUCAGGGAACAGUGGGAGGUCAGGGUAUGGGAGUAGGGGUGUUGAGGAUGAGAAAAUAGCAGGCUUGUGAUUCUAGUCCUUCCUGACUGUUUGCAGAGGGUUGGAGCUGGGAAACAGGAUGGGACUGGGGGCACAGGCUGCAUAUCAAGAGCUGCUGCUUCUCUUUGGGAAGAGGCAGCUAGGUCCACUCUGCAGGUUUUGCCACUCAUUUGGAGAGGCAGUGGAGCAUGGUGGCUACGAACAUGGUUUGGAGCCUGUCUGAAUGGAUAUGCAUUCCAAGGCUGCCAUUUUCUAGUCAGAUGGCUUUGUG